GACGAACGCUGGCGGCGUGCUUAACACAUGCCAGUCGAACGGUGAAGCGCCUUCCUUUUUGGUGGGUGUGGAUGAGUGGCGAACGGGUGAGUAACACGUGAGUAACCUGCCCCCUUCUUCUGGAUAACCGCAUGAAAGUGUGGCUAAUACGGGAUAUUCUGGGUCUGUCGCAUGAUGGGUCUGGGAAAGAUAUUGUUUCGGUGGGGGAUGGGCUCGCGGCCUAUCAGCUUGUUGGUGGGGUGAUGGCCUACCAAGGCGGUGACGGGUAGCCGGCCUGAGAGGGUGGACGGUCACACUGGGACUGAGACACGGCCCAGACUCCUACGGGAGGCAGCAGUGGGGAAUAUUGCACGAUGGGCGCAAGCCUGAUGCAGCGACGCCGCGUGAGGGAUGGAGGCCUGCGGGUUGUGAACCUCUUUCGCCAGUGAAGCAGGCCUGCCUCGUUUGUGGGUGGGUUGACGGUAGCUGGAUAAGAAGCGCCGGCUAACUACGUG
rnacentral:rRNA from 1 species